ensembl:snRNA U6 U6 spliceosomal RNA
GUGCUUGCUUCAGCAGCACAUAUACUAAAAUUGGAACAAUGCAGAGAAGAUUAGUGUGGUCCCUACACAAGGAUGAUAUGCAAAUUUGUAAAACGUUCCAUAUUUUU